GGCGCUGUAGCUCAAGUGGUAGAGCGCUAGCCUUGAGCUGAAGAGCCUGGGUUUGAGUCCUCAGCACCA
rnacentral:tRNA from 1 species